UUUCCUUGUUCCUUUACUCAGAUAUGGAGGCGGGAGCGUUGGACAAGCUCGCAUCUGGAAAUUGCUGGGUAUCUUGACCCUUUUGGGUGGCAGAAAGUUAGCUGAUGUAUAAAUGUUUACUCAUCCUAAUUUCUACCAGCUGCUACUUUGUGUACUUCUUGGGCUUACCAAUUGCAUGGUUCAGAAAUCUGCACUGUGUAUUGGGAUCACCCUGGUGGAUGAGGAGGAUGACAAGUUUUGCAUGCUCUACCAACCAUCCAAGGCUGCCCUCAGCACUGGAUGGGGAGGUUUUGUCGUCGACCACAAGCUGCUUGAUGGAGAUUGCUUGGUCUUCCAACUGAUCGAGCGGACAAUGUUCAAGGUCUACAUAAUCAGAGCAGCAUCGUACUUGAAAGCGAGCACUGAUGAAGCUAGUAGCUUCUAAUACGGAAACUUGGACUAUUGGAGCACAGAUAUGGAGGCGGGAGCGUUGGACAAGCUCGCAUCUGGAAAUUGCUGGGUAUCUUGACCCUUUUGGGUGGCAGAAAGUUAGCUGAUAAAUCUGCACUGUGUAUUGGGAUCACCCUGGUGGAUGAGGAGGAUGACAAGUUUUGCAUGCUCUACCAACCAUCCAAGGCUGCCCUCAGCACUGGAUGGGGAGGUUUUGUCGUCGACCACAAGCUGCUUGAUGGAGAUUGCUUGGUCUUCCAACUGAUCGAGCGGACAAUGUUCAAGGUGAUU